GCUGGGUGUGGGGGCGCACACCUGUAAUCUCAGGCUCUCAUGAGGCUGAGACAGGAGGAUCACGAGUUCAAAACCAGCCUCAGCAAAAGUGAGGUGCUAAGCAUCUCUGUGAGACCCUGUUUCUC
rnacentral:sRNA from 1 species